rnacentral:piRNA from 1 species
UGCAGUCUUCAACCUGGCAGAGGCUCC